AUGCAUAGGUUGGAGGUUGAAGGUGAAGAGCAAAUGCAAAAAAUCCGCAACAAAAUAAAACAGCAUUCAAAGCACUUCAACUGCAAGAAACCUCAACAGCAAGAUUCGUUUUCUCAAUCUUGCUUUUGUUGCAAGAUUUCAUAA